rnacentral:tRNA from 1 species
GGGGGUAUGGGGUAACCUGGUAUCCUUACGGGCUCCAGACCCGUCGAUGGGGGUUCAAAUCCCUCUGCCCCCA